rnacentral:rRNA from 1 species
GAACGACUCUCGGCAACGGAUAUCUCGGCUCUUGCAUCGAUGAAGAACGUAGCGAAAUGCGAUACUUGGUGUGAAUUGCAGAAUCCCGUGAACCAUCGAGUCUUUGAACGCAGGUUGCGCCCGAAGCCAUUAGGCCGAGGGCACGCCUGCCUGGGUGUCACAC